rnacentral:rRNA from 1 species
CAGUGAAAUUGAACUCGCUGUGAAGAUGCAGUGUACCCGCGGCAAGACGGAAAGACCCCGUGAACCUUUACUAUAGCUUGACACUGAACAUUGAGCCUUGAUGUGUAGGAUAGGUGGGAGGCUUUGAAGUGUGGACGCCAGUCUGCAUGGAGCCGACCUUGAAAUACCACCCUUUAAUGUUUGAUGUUCUAACGUGGGCCCGUAAUCCGGGUUGCGGACAGUGUCUGGUGGGUAGUUUGACUGGGGCGGUCUCCUCCUAAAGAGUAACGGAGGAGCACGAAGGUUGGCUAAUCCUGGUCGGACAUCAGGAGGUUAGUGCAAUGGCAUAAGCCAGCUUGACUGCGAGCGUGACGGCGCGAGCAGGUGCGAAAGCAGGUCAUAGUGAUCCGGUGGUUCUGAAUGGAAGGGCCAUCGCUCAACGGAUAAAAGGUACUCCGGGGAUAACAGGCUGAUACCGCCCAAGAGUUCAUAUCGACGGCGGUGUUUGGCACCUCGAUGUCGGCUCAUCACAUCCUGGGGCUGAAGUAGGUCCCAAGGGUAUGGCUGUUCGCCAUUUAAAGUGGUACGCGAGCUGGGUUUAGAACGUCGUGAGACAGUUCGGUCCCUAUCUGCCGUGGGCGCUGGAGAACUGAGGGGGGCUGCUCCUAGUACGAGAGGACCGGAGUGGACGCAUCACUGGUGUUCGGGUUGUCAUGCCAAUGGCACUGCCCGGUAGCUAAAUGCGGAAGAGAUAAGUGCUGAAAGCAUCUAAGCACGAAACUUGCCCCGAGAUGAGUUCUCCCUGACCCUUUAAGGGUCCUGAAGGAACGUUGAAGACGACGACGUUGAUAGGCCGGGUGUGUAAGCGCAGCGAUGCGUUGAGCUAACCGGUACUAAUGAACCGUGAGGCUUAACCUUACAACGCCGAAG